rnacentral:tRNA from 1 species
UCCCUGGUAGCUCAGCUGGGAAAGAAUCUGCCUACAAUGCAGGAGACCCUGGUUCGAUUCCUGGGUUGGGAA